UGAGACUUUCUAACUGCCAAGACUUUGAUGAAUGGAAGUGUUCUGAUUUUACACUUCAGAAGAUGCCAAUCUGUAAGGAAGAGACUGAAUCUUGGACAGCCAUGAUCAAACACCCUGUUUGCUGCUUAGCUGGGGAUGAGUGAGCCACUUUCCAGCUCUGCUCAGCUGGACAGGAUCAAGAGAAUGGCAUCCAAGUAGCAGUGUUCUUCCCUAAAUCUGUAAGCUCUUUUCAGCAUUCCUGUUGUGCAGACUGCUGUUUUGUUCCAACACAGUAUAGUGUGGCAUGGUUGUGCUCAACUGGACUUCAGGGUACCUGCAUUUUCACAUCUUCCUGCAAGAAUGGAUUUGGAGCCCCAUUUUUGCUUGUGCCAACACAGCUAUACUGCCACAGCAUAUGUGAAAUAGCCUCAUCACGUAAACGCUUAACCCUGUUCAUUAUUCGUCUGGUGAAUGCUCCCAGUGCAAGCCAUUGACUGGACUCACAGGUAGGCUUGGUCCACCUUGCAACAUCCAGAAAUCCCUUCCUGAGUUAUGAGCAUGGAGGAGGGAUUCAGAGCUGCUGUUCCCCCAGCAGCUUCGGGGUGUGAAGUAGGACCAGAUGUGAGCUGUUGUGCACACACACAAAACCAGUUUUUCCCUAUCUGACCCUUGCAGCAGCAGAGGC
rnacentral:lncRNA from 1 species